UACGUAGGCAGCAAGCGUUGUUCGGAAUUACUGGGCGUAAAGAGUGUGUAGGCGGUGCUCUAAGUUUGGUGUGAAAUCUCCCGGCUCAACUGGGAGGGUGCGCCGAAAACUGGAAUGCUUGAACGUGGGAGAGGAAAGCGGAAUUCCUGGUGUAGCGGUGAAAUGCGUAGAUAUCAGGAGGAACACCUGCGGUGUAGACGGCUUUCUGGACCAUUGUUGACGCUGAGACACGAAAGCGUGGGGAGCAAACAGG
rnacentral:rRNA from 1 species